CCAGACUCCUACGGGAGGCAGCAGUGGGGAGUAUUGCACAAUGGGGGAAACCCUGAUGCAGCGACGCCGCGUGAGUGAAGAAGUAAUUCGUUAUGUAAAGCUCUAUCAGCAGGGAAGAAAAUGACGGUACCUGAGUAAGAAGCCCCGGCUAACUACGUGCCAGCAGCCGCGGUAAUACGUAGGGGGCAAGCGUUAUCCGGAUUCACUGGGUGUAAAGGGAGCGUAGACGGCGAUGCAAGCCAGGAGUGAAAGCCCGGGGCCCAACCCCGGGACUGCUCUUGGAACUGCGUGGCUGGAGUGCAGGAGGGGCAGGCGGAAUUCCUGGUGUAGCGGUGAAAUGCGUAGAUAUUAGGAGGAACACCAGUGGCGAAGGCGGCUUACUGGACUGUAACUGACGUUGAGGCUCGAAAGCGUGGGGAGCAAACAGGAUUAGAUACCCUGGUACU
rnacentral:rRNA from 1 species